UACGGGGGGGGCAAGCGUUGUUCGGAAUUACUGGGCGUAAAGGGCUCGUAGGCGGCCAACUAAGUCAGACGUGAAAUCCCUCGGCUUAACCGGGGAACUGCGUCUGAUACUGGAUGGCUUGAGUUCGGGAGAGGGAUGCGGAAUUCCAGGUGUAGCGGUGAAAUGCGUAGAUAUCUGGAGGAACACCGGGUGGCGAAGGCGGCAUCCUGGACCGAUACUGACGCUGAGGAGCGAAAGCCAGGGGAGCAAAGCGGG
rnacentral:rRNA from 1 species